rnacentral:rRNA from 1 species
UACGUAGGGGGCAAGCGUUGUCCGGAUUCAUUGGGCGUAAAGAGCGUGUAGGCGGCCAGGUAGGUCGGUUGUGAAAACUGGAGGCUCAACCUUCAGAGGUCGACCGAAACCAUCUGGCUAGAGUGCGGUAGGGGAGACUGGAAUUCCUGGUGUAGCGGUGAAAUGCGCAGAUAUCAGGAGGAACACCGGUGGCGAAGGCGGGUCUCUGGGCCGUAACUGACGCUGAGGAGCGAAAGCAUGGGGAGCGAACAGG